CCAAUGACCUCGUCUUGUUUAAUGCAAUAAAUGCGAUAAAUUAAAGAAACAUGCUUAAAAUUGAAUCAAUAUCUUUAGAUAAACCAACUUAUAAACUUAGUAAUUUAUAAUAGUAAUCCUACUGUUAAAAUAAAUUUUACCUACAAUAUAAUGGUAUAUCAUUCACUAUUAAUUUCAAUUUAAUACAUUUAAAAACAAACAUCUACAAAAAUAUUGUUUGUGAAUCUUUGUAUUAUGGAUAAUUUAAUGUUUGCACAAACAAAUUCAAUUGUAUCUGGUACUCAUAAUAACCGACAAGAAUGUGAAGAAAUAAUUCAGUAUGUUCAUCAGCAAAAUAUUUUACGAACACCUGUCAACCAAAUUACAAUAGAUUAUUCACAAGACGAUUAUAGAAAUAUGAUUAUUACAAGACCAACUAUUUCAAGCAAAAAAAAAUCAAAGGAGAAAAAGCUGUCUCAAAAAAUAUCAAAAAUAAUUUAAGAGUAG